CUCCCUCCCUCCCAGACCCUCCCACCUCCUGGACAGCUCACUAAGAAUGCAGCUUCAAAAUGGAUGCUGUCUAGGAGGUGGGAGGGUCUGGGAGGGAGGGUC
rnacentral:miRNA from 1 species